rnacentral:rRNA from 1 species
UGGGGGAUAUUGCACAAUGGACGAAAGUCUGAUGCAGCGACGUCGUGUGGGGGAUGAAGGCCUUCGGGUUGUAAACUCCUUUCGCCCGCGGAAAAGGCAGGGUUUUGGCCUUGUUGAUGGUAGUGGGUAAAGAAGCGCCGGCUAACUACGUGCCAGCAGCCGCGGUAAUACGUAGGGCGCGAGCGUUGUCCGGAAUUAUUGGGCGUAAAGGGCUCGUAGGCGGUUGGUCGCGUCUAGCGUUUAAGGCUCGGGCUUAACCCGGGUUUGCGUUGGGUACGGGCAGGCUUGAGUGCGGUAGGGGUAACUGGAAUUCCUGGUGUAGCGGUGGAAUGCGCAGAUAUCAGGAGGAACACCGGUGGCGAAGGCGGGUUACUGGGCCGUUACUGACGCUGAGGAGCGAGAGCGUGGGGAGCGAACAGG